rnacentral:rRNA from 1 species
AUUGAACGCUGGCGGUAGGCCCAACACAUGCAAGUCGAACGCGAAAGUCCUUCGGGAUGAGUAGAGUGGCGGACGGGUGAGUAACGCGUAGGAAUCUAUCCUGUAGUGGGGGAUAACGUUUCGAAAGGAACGCUAAUACCGCAUACGCCCUACGGGGGAAAGCGGGGGAUCUUCGGACCUCGUGCUAGAGGAGGAGCCUGCGUCGGAUUAGCUAGUUGGUGAGGUAAAGGCUCACCAAGGCGACGAUCCGUAGCUGGUCUGAGAGGAUGAUCAGCAACACCGGAACUGAGACACGGUCCGGACUCCUACGGGAGGCAGCAGUGGGGAAUAUUGCGCAAUGGGCGAAAGCCUGACGCAGCCAUACCGCGUGUGUGAAGAAGGCCUUCGGGUUGUAAAGCACUUUCAGUGGGGAGGGAAAGCUGGCGGCUAAUAUCCGCCGGCCGUGACGCUACCCACAGAAGAAGCACCGGCUAAUUCCGUGCCAGCCGCCGCGGUAAUAC